GACGAACGCUGGCGGCGUUCUUAACACAUGCAAGUCGAACGGAAAGGCCCUGCUUUUGUGGGGUGCUCGAGUGGCGAACGGGUGAGUAACACGUGAGUAACCUGCCCUUGACUUUGGGAUAACUUCAGGAAACUGGGGCUAAUACCGGAUAGGAGCUCCUGCUGCAUGGUGGGGGUUAGAAAGUUUCGGCGGUUGGGGAUGGACUCGCGGCUUAUCAGCUUGUUGGUGGGGUAGUGGCUUACCAAGGCUUUGACGGGUAGCCGGCCUGAGAGGGUGACCGGCCACAUUGGGACUGAGAUACGGCCCAGACUCCUACGGGAGGCAGCAGUGGGGAAUAUUGCACAAUGGGCGGAAGCCUGAUGCAGCAACGCCGCGUGCGGGAUGACGGCCUUCGGGUUGUAAACCGCUUUCGCCUGUGACGAAGCGUGAGUGACGGUAAUGGGUAAAGAAGCACCGGCUAACUACGUG
rnacentral:rRNA from 1 species